rnacentral:rRNA from 1 species
GAACGGUAACAGGAAGAAGCUUGCUUCUUUGCUGACGAGUGGCGGACGGGUGAGUARUGUCUGGGAAACUGCCUGAUGGAGGGGGAUAACUACUGGAAACGGUAGCUAAUACCGCAUAACGUCGCAAGACCAAAGAGGGGGACCUUCGGGCCUCUUGCCAUCGGAUGUGCCCAGAUGGGAUUAGCUUGUAGGUGGGGUAACGGCUCACCUAGGCGACGAUCCCUAGCUGGUCUGAGAGGAUGACCAGCCACACUGGAACUGAGACACGGUCCAGACUCCUACGGGAGGCAGCAGUGGGGAAUAUUGCACAAUGGGCGCAAGCCUGAUGCAGCCAUGCCGCGUGUAUGAAGAAGGCCUUCGGGUUGUAAAGUACUUUCAGCGGGGAGGAAGGGAGUAAAGUUAAUACCUUUGCUCAUUGACGUUACCCGCAGAAGAAGCACCGGCUAACUCCGUGCCAGCAGCCGCGGUAAUACGGAGGGUGCAAGCGUUAAUCGGAAUUACUGGGCGUAAAGCGCACGCAGGCGGUUUGUUAAGUCAGAUGUGAAAUCCC